CGUAAAUUAUUAAAAUGGCACGUUGCUAACGUUGCACAACUCUAGUAUUACAAUUUGCAUACAUGUUUCUAUCAUUAUAAAAAUUGUCUAUAGUUCUUUCAUUGUUGUUUUUAAACAUUUAAAAAUUAAUUAUAGCUCUACAGCAGAUUGAUAUAUAAUAAUUAAUGCAAAUGAUCACAUAAUACGUUCACGUUGCUAAAUUAAAGAUUCGUGUUUUCAACUGGGAUUACAAAUUUAACUAUCAAUUCUAAAAUAAUUACAGCUGGGUUUUUUUUGUGUCUUUUAGAAGAUUCUGGAAAUCUGCUACAUGUUAUUAUUCAUUUAUAUGCUUGUACACUAAGUAAACAUAGUUUGAAAUUUCAUUAUUUCACAAGCAUGAGUCAGCAUCUUACUAAAUAUAUUAGCAAUCAGUAUUGAAAGAAAUCUAAAUAUUUUCUUGUUCAGUUUAUGGACAUACAUAAACAGAAGCCGCCAAAUGGAAUGUGAUCAAAUUGAUAUAGCACUUAUAAGUAUAUGUCUCGCACUUAAUACAUGCAAUCAAAAAUUGUCUUCUUACCACAAUAGGUUACAAUCCUUCAAUAAAACUAGCAGUGUAUGCUUUUACUCAUCAGGGCCGUAACUAGACGCGAU